AGAGUUUGAUCAUGGCUCAGGAUGAACGCUGGCGGCGUGCCUAACACAUGCAAGUCGAGCGAUUUACUUCGGUAAAGAGCGGCGGACGGGUGAGUAACGCGUGGGUAACCUGCCCUGUACACACGGAUAACAUACCGAAAGGUAUGCUAAUACGGGAUAAUAUGCUUUUAUCGCAUGGUAGAAGUAUCAAAGCUUUUGCGGUACAGGAUGGACCCGCGUCUGAUUAGCUAGUUGGUAAGGUAACGGCUUACCAAGGCGACGAUCAGUAGCCGACCUGAGAGGGUGAUCGGCCACAUUGGAACUGAGACACGGUCCAAACUCCUACGGGAGGCAGCAGUGGGGAAUAUUGCACAAUGGGCGAAAGCCUGAUGCAGCAACGCCGCGUGAGCGAUGAAGGCCUUCGGGUCGUAAAGCUCUGUCCUCAAGGAAGAUAAUGACGGUACUUGAGGAGGAAGCCCCGGCUAACUACGUGCCAGCAGCCGCGGUAAUACGUAGGGGGCUAGCGUUAUCCGGAAUUACUGGGCGUAAAGGGUGCGUAGGUGGUUUCUUAAGUCAGAGGUGAAAGGCUACGGCUCAACCGUAGUAAGCCUUUGAAACUGGGAAACUUGAGUGCAGGAGAGGAGAGUGGAAUUCCUAGUGUAGCGGUGAAAUGCGUAGAUAUUAGGAGGAACACCAGUUGCGAAGGCGGCUCUCUGGACUGUAACUGACACUGAGGCACGAAAGCGUGGGGAGCAAACAGGAUUAGAUACCCUGGUAGU
rnacentral:rRNA from 1 species